CAGCAUAACUUCUUACAAUUUCAAGCAGUGAGCCACAAGUAAUAUAUAUUGUGUACUUGACCCUUGUAAUUUCUCCACAUUUGUGAAACUGAAUACAAAAAAAGAAAUGGCAUCAUAUUGUAAUGUUUAAUUAAUCUGAAUUUUUUAAACUAAAUAUUUGGACAAUAUUUAAUUAGAUGAGGUAAAAGUAGAUGCAUCAGAACAUAACUCAUUGUUACAGUUGCUUAUUACAGUACAGCUUAUUACAUGUCAAUAAUUGUUUUGUAGUGUUCAUUUAUCUCUGAAUUAUUUACCUCACUGAAUUAAUAACCACAUUUCUAAGUUUAGCAAAAUGCUGAUUUACUAAUAUUAAAAUAUUUUAUAUAGAGCUAAUCACCACACAGUUUAUUAUAUAAAAAUGCUCUGCUGUUAUUUCUCAGUCCACAUAAGAUUCUUUCAUACUUGGCUGUAAUUAUGCCCUCACUUCAGUCUUACUCUAAAUUCACCUCGUUUAAAUGGCAGUACAGUGAGCAAGUAACACUCUCACUGUCUAUUUUUUACCUUAAUGAGUAAAAAAGUCACUCAAAGUGAUAGUAAAGUGAUUUUCACGUUGUAUAAAAAAGGUACAUACAAAGUGACUUACAGUAUAGUACACUUUAUACAUGAACAUCCCCCUUGACCAACCUGAGGUUAAGUAUCUUUCUCAAGUCAAGUGUUGAUAGUAGAUGGAUUUCCCUUAGACCAACCUAGAUCUUUAUCCACUAAACUACAGAACCCAACCCCACCUCUAGAGGCACACCAUGUUUAUUUAAGCCUCGAGACUUUGCUAAGUUCAGCUAUUCAUGAUGCAUUUGCAUUUUGCUAUCUUUUUUGUAUCAUUACAAUGGCCUGCCACUAUGUGUCUUCAGGUAAACCAAAACCCAUUGGAGCUUAUUGUUCUACCUGGUGUACCACUUGAAGUCAACUGCUCCAUCACAGGCACUGAUAACCCAAACCUGUACUGGUACCGCUGGACCCCAACAGAUGGUCUCAAGCUGAUGUUCAGUUCUUUGGGUAAAGGAAUGGUGGAUCCAGAAAGCAUGGGGAUUUUUCAUCUAAAAGACCAGAGCUUCUUCAGAUACUGCUGGAGUCCAAGAGUGUAACUCAUAUUGGUUCUGCCGUUUGGUAUUGUGCAGCCAGUCCCCACAGUAUGACAGACUACAAUGAAGCUGUACAAAAACUAGGCCCUGUUUACACCUGGUGUUAAGAUGCGUUUUGGUCGAUCGGAUCACAGGUAGAUAAGGGAGACACGUUCCCUUUUUUACACCCAGUGUUUUAAUCCAUCUCUUUUGUCCACCUUCAAUCACUUCUGUUAUGAUUUCUUUGAGGGGAAGGUCUAUGGGUGGUAAAUGUAUGGGCUUUUUCAAAUCUAUUGAUUAAAUUCACGUCACACACAAAUAAAUGACCAGAAAUGACAAAAAAUAUGACAAAACAUACAAAACAUGCUCCGAUAGCUGCAAGACCACACUGAAUGCAAGGUAAGUGUUAGAAAUGAGGAAUGCUGAGAGAGCAUUGUGCUUGGUAUACAUUUUUUGUCUUCAAACCAAACUUUGGUCUUCAGCCAAAAAAGUUUAAAUCCCGUCUGGCUAGCGUGCUUCUCAUAAUGUUUACACAUUAGGUCAGUAGGCGGAGAAUAGAUGGUCUUUUGUGGCUGUUCAAACACAUUCGACCACGUAAGCGUUUCCACUACGAAAACAUUAUUGUUGCAUUUUUCGACUACCUCUAGAAGUGGUCGAAAGUGGACAAAUUCAAAGACCAUAUUUACUUAUAAAUACCAGAGUAUGUCAUCCACUUGUGAUCCGAUCGACCAAAAUGCAUCUUAAUACCUGUUGUAAACAGGGCCUCAGGGACAUUCCCCCCCUGUAAAAAAAAAUCAUCUACUGUAAGAAGCUAACCCUUGUGUUGAGAUUGACUUUACUGUUUUUGAUUUUG